GAGCGAACAGGAUUAGAUACCCUGGUAGUCCACGCCGUAAACGUUGGGCACUAGGUGUGGGGGGCCUUUUCCGGGUCUUCCGCGCCGUAGCUAACGCAUUAAGUGCCCCGCCUGGGGAGUACGGCCGCAAGGCUAAAACUCAAAGGAAUUGACGGGGGCCCGCACAAGCGGCGGAGCAUGCGGAUUAAUUCGAUGCAACGCGAAGAACCUUACCAAGGCUUGACAUGUGCCGGUCUGCUCCGGAGACGGGGUUUCCUCCCUUGUGGGGGCUGGUUCACAGGUGGUGCAUGGUUGUCGUCAGCUCGUGUCGUGAGAUGUUGGGUUAAGUCCCGCAACGAGCGCAACCCUUGUCUCGUGUUGCCAGCACGUUGUGGUGGGGACUCGCGGGAGACUGCCGGGGUCAACUCGGAGGAAGGUGGGGAUGACGUCAAAUCAUCAUGCCCCUUAUGUCUUGGGCUUCACGCAUGCUACAAUGGCCGGUACAGAGGGCUGCGAUACCGUGAGGUGGAGCGAAUCCCUUAAAGCCGGUCUCAGUUCGGAUCGGUGUCUGCAACUCGACACCGUGAAGUUGGAGUCGCUAGUAAUCGCAGAUCAGCAACGCUGCGGUGAAUACGUUCUCGGGCCUUGUACACACCGCCCGUCACGUCAUGAAAGUCGGCAACACC
rnacentral:rRNA from 1 species